GGAGUCGGCCAGGCGACCGCGGUGGACGUUGGUCCAUCGAGGAAAGUCCGGACUCCGCAGGGCAGGACGCUGGGUAACUCCCAGGCGUGGCGACACGCGGCACGUGCAACAGAAAGCAGACCGCCCGCGCGGCCCAGAUCGCGCAGGUAAGGGUGAAACGGUGCGGUAAGAGCGCACCGGCGUCGGCGGUGACGUCGACGGCCAGGUGAACCCCGUCCGGAGCAAGGCCAAGCAGGUGCGUCGAGGUGGCCCGCUGAGCACCAGGUAGGCCGCUGGAGGCCGUCGGCAACGACGGUCCGAGAUAGAUGGUCGCCCCACCGAGUACAUCGGUGCUGACAGAAUCCGGCUUAUCGGCCGGCUCCCCGC
rnacentral:RNase_P_RNA from 1 species